rnacentral:rRNA from 1 species
CUAGCGACUUCAGAGUUUGAUCCUGGCUCAGGAUGAACGCUGGCGGCGUGCAUAACACAUUCAAGUCGAACGGAGUUAUUGAUUUGGAUCCCUUCGGGGUGAAGAGUCUUUAACUUAGUGGCGGACGGGUGAGUAACGCGUGAGCAACCUGCCUUUGUGAGGGGGAUAACGUCGGGAAACUGACGCUAAUACCGCAUGAAGUAUGAGGAAUGCAUGUUUUUCAUACCAAAGAUUUAUCGCACAAAGAUGGGCUCGCGUCUGAUUAGGUAGUUGGUAAGGUAACGGCUUACCAAGCCUACGAUCAGUAGCCGGACUGAGAGGUUGAACGGCCACAUUGGAACUGAGAUACGGUCCAG